AUUGAACGCUGGCGGCAGGCCUAACACAUGCAAGUCGAGCGGCAGCGGGAAAGUAGCUUGCUACUUUUGCCGGCGAGCGGCGGACGGGUGAGUAAUGCCUGGGAAAUUGCCCAGUCGAGGGGGAUAACAGUUGGAAACGACUGCUAAUACCGCAUACGCCCUACGGGGGACAGCAGGGGACCUUCGGGCCUUGCGCGAUUGGAUAUGCCCAGGUGGGAUUAGCUAGUUGGUGGGGUAAUGGCUCACCAAGGCGACGAUCCCUAGCUGGUCUGAGAGGAUGAUCAGCCACACUGGAACUGAGACACGGUCCAGACUCCUACGGGAGGCAGCAGUGGGGAAUAUUGCACAAUGGGGGAAACCCUGAUGCAGCCAUGCCGCGUGUGUGAAGAAGGCCUUCGGGUUGUAAAGCACUUUCAGCGAGGAGGAAAGGUUGAUGCCUAAUACGUAUCAACUGUGACGUUACUCGCAGAAGAAGCACCGGUUAACUCCGUGCCAGCCGCCGCGGUAACAC
rnacentral:rRNA from 1 species